AAAAACUGUGUGUGAGGAGGGAAAAAAAGGGAAAUCUCCUGUACUUGACACCUUAAUUGUUGUUUGUUGUUGCAUUUGUUUGUUGGUUGAUUUUUAAGACAGACUUUCGCCACGUAAUCCUGGUUUGUCUGUACCUCGCUAUGUAGACCGAGCUUGCCUCGACAGCAAAGAUCCACCUGUCUCUGCCUUCCAGAGUCCCGGGAUCAAAGAGUGCUGUUGGUGGAGUUCUUUCCCUGAGAAGACUGUAAACAAACACCCUCCUUUUAGGGCUCCAACCACAGAGUAUGAUUCCGCUAAAGUUCAUCUUGGACAACCUGUAGGAUUGCUGGACUUAACAUGCAACAUGGGUGAGGGGUUACUGACGGGAGCGUGGGCGACCCGGAGCAGACACAUACCCUUGGUGGAUGGAGAUCUCCUCCCAGCUGUACAAAUGGAGUCCCCCGUUCAGUUAGGAGUCUACGCUUCAUACACCCUAGCACUGUAAGACCACAAGGCCACAGGAAAUGGGGUCUAGAAGAAAGCAGCUGGAAUCUCAAGUCUGAUCUGUGAACAUCUCUGUGACAAGGAACUAAAGCCACCUCUAAGCAGGAUAUCCAAAGUACACACCAUCCUCAAGAUGAAAACAGUUGUCAAAAAGCUAAAAGGAAGUCUACUCUGUGGCCUAACUAUACUGCUCUUUAGCAUAUAACCCAAAAGACUUGACAUCUGUCUCCACAGACACUUGUGCAGCCAUGUUCACUGUUUCCAUGUUUACAAAAGCAAGGAAAUGGAAAAAACUGAAAGAUCUUGAACCAAUAAUGAAUGAAUAAUGGAAAUGUGGCUUGUGUACACUAUGAAAUACUAU